CCUACGGGCGGCUGCAGUGGGGAAUAUUGGACAAUGGGGGCAACCCUGAUCCAGCCAUGCCGCGUGUGUGAAGAAGGCCCUCGGGUUGUAAAGCACUUUCAGUGAGGAAGAACGCCUGGUGGUUAAUACCCAUCAGGAAAGACAUCACUCACAGAAGAAGCACCGGCUAACUCCGUGCCAGCAGCCGCGGUAAUACGGAGGGUGCGAGCGUUAAUCGGAAGUACUGGGCGUAAAGCGCGCGUAGGUGGCUUGAUAAGCCGGUUGUGAAAGCCCCGGGCUCAACCUGGGAACGGCAUCCGGAACUGUCAAGCUAGAGUGCAGGAGAGGAAGGUAGAAUUCCCGGUGUAGCGGUGAAAUGCGUAGAGAUCGGGAGGAAUACCAGUGGCGAAGGCGGCCUUCUGGACUGACACUGACACUGAGGUGCGAAAGCGUGGGUAGCAAACAGGAUUAGAUACCCUGGUAGUC
rnacentral:rRNA from 1 species